UAAGAGGUCCUGCCUGCCCAGUGACUAUAUGUUAAACGGCCGCGGUACUCUGACCGUGCGAAGGUAGCGUAAUCACUUGUCUUUUAAAUGGAGACCUGUAUGAAUGGCACGACGAGGGCUUGACUGUCUCCUUUUUCCAGUCAAUGAAAUUGAUCUCCCCGUGCAGAAGCGGGGAUGCAAUCAUAAGACGAGAAGACCCUGUGGAGCUUUAGACACUAAACCAGCCCUUGUCCAAACCCCCCAUUAAAGGAACGAACGCUAGAGCACAGAUCUGGCCUAAUGUCUUCGGUUGGGGCGACCUCGGGGAACGAAUCAACCCCCGCGCGGAACGGGAGUCUGACUCCUAAAACCAAGAACCACCACUCAAAGCAUCAAUAAUUUUGACCUACAAUAUGAUCCAGCUUUCACGCCGAUCAACGGACCAAGUUACCCCAGGGAUAACAGCGCAAUCCUCUUCAAGAGCCCAUAUCGACAAGAGGGUUUACGACCUCGAUGUUGGAUCAGGACAUCCCAAUGGUGCAGCCGCUAUUAAGGGUUCGUUUGUUCAACGAUGAAAGUCCU
rnacentral:rRNA from 1 species